GACAACCUGGAGCCUACUGCCCGGGAAGAUCCGGACGCGACCGAAGCCGACCAACCAUUAGAAAGUGCAUCCAAUGGGAAUUUUUCCACUCGGGCCCUCGGCUGCGGAGUCGCGCAGACUCCCGGAGCGGCUCACCCAUCGACGCGGACUCGGGGCGGUUUCGGACGGACCCCGGCAGUCGGGGGCGUGGACUCGGCUCCCAGCGAGCUGUUAGCGGAGGGACGCACGCGGGGAGGAGCGCCUCGGCCCCUCCGCUCCUGGGGAGGUCCCGGCGCCCGCCGAGGGCCGGGACCUGCGGCACCCCAGGCCACUGCUCCGCGCCUUCUAGGGUCAACCCCCCGGCACAUACCCCGACCCGAUGGCCCAAGCCCUGGCACUCGGGUCAAAGCCGCCUGUGCAAUGCCACCUUGGGCCCCAAGAAACCUACACUACGGCGAGACGAUCCCUCCAGGCUGGCCGGCGGGUCUCCAAACACAGCAGGCAACAUCCCCACACCGACCCAGACUUCUCCCGGGUGAGACCCCCGGGGCCGGGGCUCCAGACCAUCAUCCCCACCCCGCCGUGAGGCCAACCUCCCCUCGGCCCGCCUUGUCGGGCCCCGCCACCCGGAGACCUCCCGGGUCCCUCCGCAGUGCCGCCGCCCGCUCCAGUUGGCGCAGCGAGGGGACCCCCGGGCGCUCUCGGCCUGACUCGCUUCUCCCCGACCUCCUCCGAAACAAGUUACCUUGUCCACGCUCUCCAGACCACGCUUUGGACUUUCUCACUUUUAUUUAAGAGUCCACCCGGAGAAAGAGGAAAAAAAAAUCCAGAGGAGAUCCGAGUCAAUUGGAAAGAAAAAUUUUCAAAAGGGUGUCCACAGCGGCGAAAAAGCCCAGACUCUGCCGACCUUCAAACGACAACAAGGCUUUCAGGAGGGAGCGGGGAGACCGCUUCCCACACGGACCUGACCAGAAACCCGGCACCCCCGGGCCACAUUCCCCCUCUUUCAGGCAUAGAGAACUCCAGUCUACGGCCAGAGGCCCCCUUCCUGGUGCUGGGCAAACACUCAGGCCGUUAAAGGCCACUGCAGGCCAGCCAGCGUCUCCCCCUUCUACACCCGGUCUUCCUAGUACUUGAGAAGGCACCUCUGUGGCCAAACAUUGGCCAGGUGUCUCUUCCCAACUCCUGUCCAGCCUGGCAAAUAACAGAUUGGCUUCACUGCUCCGAUCAGUAAGUCACCCCAACAUCUCUAGUACCCCCAACUCCUUUUAGCAGGAGCUGCCUCUCCCCUAGGGAGAACUCAAUGUGGAACUAGAUUAAAACGAGGACUUGCCCUCCUGCUUGAGCUGUGGAACUCAA